rnacentral:tRNA from 1 species
CGGGGCGUGGCGCAGGCUGGUAGCGCGACUGGUUUGGGACCAGUAGGUCGCAGGUUCGAAUCCUGUCGCCCCGA